rnacentral:lncRNA from 1 species
CUUUUGGGGUUUGCCAAAAUCUUGGAAGUGUCUCACUGAACCUGGGGAGAAGACCUCAAGACGAAAGUUUGAGAGCCGCUGAAUUACAACUUGCUUAAAGGCCAUAGCCAACAUACUCUCUGAAUCAGACUCAUUUGCAAAGAAAAAAUCAUAUCCGAAUUGUUUCUCUAUCUUGCUGGCCUUAUCUUUAACUUCCCUCGCUUGCAAAAUCUACAAAAAUUACCACAGUUUACUCAUGACGAUCCAGCAAAACAUGGGAAACCCAGCAGAAAUCC